GGAGUCCAGGCCCAGCCCCUCCUCCCUCAGACCCAGGAGUCCAGACUCCAGCCCCUCCUCCCUCAGACCCAGGAGUCCAGACUCCAGCCCCUCCUCCCUCAGACCCAGGAGUCCAGACUCCAGCUCCUCCUCCCUCAGACUCAGGAGUCCAGACUCCAGCUCCUCCUCCCUCAGACCUAGGAGUUCAGACCCGCAGCCCCUCCUCCCACAGACUCCUUCCACAGAGUCCAGGCCUCCAGCCCCCUUGUCUCUCAGACUCUGGAGUUUGGGCCCCACGAUCCCCUCCUUUCUCAGACCCAAGAGUCAGGACCCCCCAGGCCAUCAUUUACCCACAGCCAGGGCAGGGCAAAUCCUCCACAUCAUCUCAAGGAAGGAGAAUGUGGGUGGCAGGAUGAGGCCAAUUACU
rnacentral:lncRNA from 1 species